rnacentral:rRNA from 1 species
UACGUAGGUGGCAAGCGUUAUCCGGAAUUAUUGGGCGUAAAGCGCUCGCAGGCGGUUUCUUAAGUCUGAUGUGAAAGCCCACGGCUCAACCGUGGAGGGUCAUUGGAAACUGGGAAACUUGAGUGCAGAAGAGGAGAGUGGAAUUCCACGUGUAGCGGUGAGAUGCGUAGAGAUGUGGAGGAACACCAGUGGCGAAGGCGACUCUCUGGUCUGUAACUGACGCUGAGGAGCGAAAGCGUGGGGAGCAAACAGG